rnacentral:rRNA from 1 species
GAUGAACGCUGGCGGCGUGCUUAACACAUGCAAGUCGAACGGAAAGGCCCAAGCUUGCUUGGGUACUCGAGUGGCGAACGGGUGAGUAACACGUGGGUGAUCUGCCCUGCACUUCGGGAUAAGCCUGGGAAACUGGGUCUAAUACCGGAUAGGACCACAUUUUGGAUGGUGUGGUGGAAAGUUUUUCGGUGUGGGAUGAGCUCGCGGCCUAUCAGCUUGUUGGUGGGGUAAUGGCCUACCAAGGCGUCGACGGGUAGCCGGCCUGAGAGGGUGUACGGCCACAUUGGGACUGAGAUACGGCCCAGACUCCUACGGGAGGCAGCAGUGGGGAAUAUUGCACAAUGGGCGCAAGCCUGAUGCAGCGACGCCGCGUGGGGGAUGACGGCCUUCGGGUUGUAAUCUCCUUUCGCUAGGGACGAAGCGUUUUUGUGACGGUACCUGGAGAAGAAGCACCGGCUAACUACGUG